rnacentral:tRNA from 1 species
GUUCUCGUAGUGUAGUGGUUAUCACAUCCGCUUAACGCGCGGAAGGUCCCAGGUUCGAGCCCUGGCGAGAACA